UACGUAGGGGGCAAGCGUUGUCCGGAAUCAUUGGGCGUAAAGAGCGUGUAGGCGGCUUGGUAAGUCCGCUGUGAAAGUCCAGGGCUCAACCCUGGAAAGCCAGUGGAAACUGCCAAGCUAGAGUCCGGAAGAGGCGAGUGGAACUCCUGGUGUAGCGGUGAAAUGCGCAGAUAUCAGGAAGAACACCAAUGGCGAAGGCAGCUCGCUGGGACGGUACUGACGCUGAGACGCGAAAGCGUGGGGGGCAAACAGG
rnacentral:rRNA from 1 species